ACCUGAUGAGGCAGGGAUUAUUAUCUUUAUUUCACAGAGGAGGAAACUGAAGAUCAGAGAAGUUAGGUGAUUUGCCCAGGGUUUUGCAGUAAGUAAGUAAUAGAGUCAAGAUUCUAGGCCAGGUAUGAAUGUCUGACUCAAGCUUUCCUAUAUCCCCCACACAAUGGAAAGAGCACGCGGUCUGAUGAACCAACAACUGAGUGGAAUAGAGAAAUCAUCUUGAUUUCAGAGUGAAGAGAAAUCUCAGGCCCAGCCUGUAGCAAAGUGCACCUCUGACCUUGACAGUUUGGACAGGAAGAAUAUGAAAGGGUUAGUCUCUCAGGGAAAUGGGGAUGGGUACAGAAAAGUAAAUUAUUGGGAAAGUGCAUGAUGUUUCUAGCUGGAGUAGAACUGACAGGGAUCCAAGCACAAUUAGUUUAUUUGGGAGGGGAUUGCAGAAAACACCAGCAGAAGAGUGAGGAAGUGAGAUAGGGAGGGAAAAGAAACCAAUAAAGCAUGCGCUAUCGAGCAAGCUACCAUGGUGGGCCACCGAAAUCGGACCCUCUAGGGCAGUGGUCCCCAACUUUUUUGGCACCAAGGACCAGUUUUGUGGAAAACAAUUUUUCCACGAACUGGAGGGUGAGGGGAUGGGGGCAUGGUUUUGGGAUGAGUCAAGUGCAUUACAUUGAUUGUGUACUUUAUUUCUAUUAUUAGUAUUACAUUAUAAUAUAUAAAGAAGUAAUUAUACAACUCACCAUAAGGUAGAAUCAGUGGGAGUCUGAGCUGUUUUCCUGCAAUUAGACGGCCCCAGUGGGGGUGAUGGGAGGUAGUGACAGAUCAUCAAGCAUUAGAGUCUCAUAAUGAGCAUGCAACCUAGGUCCCUCACAUGCUCAGUUCACAACAGGGUUCACACUCCUAUGAGAAUCUAAUGCUAAUCUGACAGGAGAUGGAGCUCAGGCAGUAAUGCGAGCGACGGGGAGG
rnacentral:lncRNA from 1 species